CCAGAGAACUUAGCAGAGAUUGCUUUGGUGCCUUCGGGAACUCUGAGACAGGUGCUGCAUGGCUGUCGUCAGCUCGUGUUGUGAAAUGUUGGGUUAAGUCCCGCAACGAGCGCAACCCUUAUCCUUUGUUGCCAGCGGUCCGGCCGGGAACUCAAAGGAGACUGCCAGUGAUAAACUGGAGGAAGGUGGGGAUGACGUCAAGUCAUCAUGGCCCUUACGAGUAGGGCUACACACGUGCUACAAUGGCGCAUACAAAGAGAAGCGACCUCGCGAGAGCAGGCGGACCUCAUAAAGUGCGUCGUAGUCCGGAUUGGAGUCUGCAACUCGACUCCAUGAAGUCGGAAUCGCUAGUAAUCGUAGAUCAGAAUGCUACGGUGAAUACGUUCCCGGGCCUUGUACACACCGCCCGUCACACCAUGGGAGUGGGUUGCAAAAGAAGUAGGUAGCUUAACCUUCGGGAGGGCGCUUACCACUUUGUGAUUCAUGACUGGGGUGAAGUCGUAACAAGGUAAGCGUACGUGU
rnacentral:rRNA from 1 species